UAAUCUAUUUAGGGCAGAUCAUCUUGUAGUUAUGACAGAUCCACACCUGACUACUUAAAAUCAAUCGUCAUCAUAAGUCUGACUACAUUAUUGACAUUGAAAACAAAGGAUAACUAUUGUGCGAAUAAUAAUGUUUUGAGAUUUUAA
rnacentral:pre_miRNA from 13 species